CACACUCACAGCUGAUUUUAUGACACUUUUACAGCUAAAACAAUAUAUAAUUCCGGUUAUCCUGCGUAACAUUAUUGGGGAUAAAGGGUUAAGGAACCGCAAUUAAUUUUUUUAGUUUAGCUUGUGUUUACUACUAAUUUUUUUUUUUUUAUCACCACACAGUAAACAUUAAGUAAUAUGUAAAGUGUCCAUUUAUCCUCCAUGCCUGGUCCAUUAUCUUAAGCUUAGGCUGCUGCCCCUCGCGACCCAAUCCGGUACUAAGUAGAGAUGCCCAGAGUUCGCUCUCUCCAGGCACUUGGCCCAGCUCCUCCGGGGGAAUCCCAAGGCAUUCCCAGGCCAGCUGAAAAACAUAGUCCCUCUAGCAUGUCCUGGGUGUUCUGGGUCUCUUCCUGGUGGGACAUGCCCAAAACACCUCACCAGGGAGGCAUCCUAACCAGAGGCCAGUAUCUAAUCUGUCCUUUUUGUAUGUUCCCCUCAGGUUGCCAUGGUAGCAGAUACGGGGAGAACAAGUGUAGACGAUGCCACAAGAAGGAUGAUGAAAUUCCUCAUAUCACCUGAGCUGGCUGCGGAGUACAACAUGCUUGGCUGACAUGGGAAAAAAAAAGUUCAGAGAUUGUGUAUGAGGCACUGAAGAAGAAUUAUUUAACAUCAAAAGUCAACUUGCAAGAAGCAGAGAAGGCUCUGUCCAAGUGGUUCACUGGAGCUAAAGACAGAGGAGGACUGCAAGGGUACAAAAUAGACUUACGGCUCUGUAAAAAAACAAAAAACGAAACCCUACUCAUUCAAGAUAAGCUUUUGAGUUUUCCAUCUGACUUUUUCCCCAUGUUGCUACAGUUCCAUAAAUCUAAGGAAUUUUGCUGUAGUUUGACAUUUCUAGUUUUUUUAAAGUUUACGCACUUUGGUAUACAGUUACGUAAAAUCACAGUUGUUGGACAAAAUAAAUGUGAAAAAUGUUG